UACGUAGGGGGCAAGCGUUAUCCGGAUUUACUGGGUGUAAAGGGAGCGUAGACGGCGAUGCAAGUCUGAAGUGAAAGCCCGGGGCUCAACCCCGGGACUGCUUUGGAAACUGUAUGGCUGAGUGCUGGAGAGGCAAGCGGAAUUCCUAGUGUAGCGGUGAAAUGCGUAGAUAUUAGGAAGAACACCAGUGGCGAAGGCGGCUUGCUGGACAGUAACUGACGUUGAGGCUCGAAAGCGUGGGGAGCAAACAGG
rnacentral:rRNA from 1 species